GCCAAGGGCUGGUGUGAAUAACGGGCUAUUGCUGUUUUUACUCUCUUGAAACUUCAGGAUUGCACCUAACAGCCCAGUUUGAAUGAAGCCCGUCCUGAGCCUAUAUUCUGUGAUGUCUUCUUAUUGAUGGACACAUUAAUUACCACACCUGCUAAAUUUUAGCGGGUUAGUCAGUCUUUGGCUGGCACUGUACAUCUAACCUUCCACCCAUUCAAGAAACUAGAGGAUUUUUCCACUAUCAGAGACAAAUGAAAUCCAGCUGCCUAUGACUUCAGUCUCAGGCCAGAUGUUUUCAUGUUCGGCCCAGCCUCAAGGUCAAGUCCAAAUUUCAUACCCAGCACUUCCCUGUCUUCCUGUGCUGAGGCUCCAGCCCAUCCAUAUCCCGAAGAAGCCUUCAUUUUGCCAGGGUAUUCCAGAAAUGGAGACACUCCAGGAUUGUGUAACGGCCCCGACACCGUAAACAAAACUAACGCUGAUAAUAACAUGGUCUUGACAGGGGCUCCGUCACUACCCAUCCCUCCAGCCCACAUCCUCCGGGCCUCUCCGUGUGUUUUUCCAAAUCGAGCUUCACCAAAGUGAGACCAGAUCUAACACAAGUCUGACUGAUAGAAUUCACGUGGGCCUGAGCCAACAAUUUUCCCACAGUUUGGUUGAGAAUCUGAGCCAACCAAUACUACAGGACAUGUCCUUUGAAUAGCACUAUUCCCCCAGACCCACAGUGCUCAGUGACGGACAACGAUGUGACAUGGCCCUCCUCCUCCUCUGUGACCAGUGCCCAGACUAGUGUCCUAUCUGGCCCCGAGUGCUGAGGUCUACGUUCAAGGGUUCCUUGUGGUCAUUAUUCUUUCAGAGAACCCAGCUAGGGGAAGACAAGCCUCAUAGGGACCCUGUCAGCUUGAGUUCAGAGCUUUGGAAUGAGAUCUUUGUCCCCGAGACUCUACGGAGAGGCGAGAGAAAGAAGUCCGCCCUAGAGCGUGCCAUGAUGCCUUUGGACAGAGCUGCUCUGAUGACUAGAAGGGUAUAUGUCGCAGAGAGUAAACUCAGUUCCACGGAUCUUAAGGUCUCUAAUUAGAUUCUGUUUCUCAGGACAAAGAGCUUUUGGGCUGCCCCAGAGAAUCUUCAGGCAGUCGAGAAACCAAAAGUAUAAAUAAGUUAAAGAGAAAAAUAAAAGAUAAAUAAUAGGGCACAGCAACAUAAAUCCUUUGCAAAUGGGAACGGGAUCUAGAGAUGGAGGGUGGAGAAGGGAGGUGAAAACAAUUAAGAAGUGUUGUGUACUUGUACCAACUCCCCACAAUAAUGUAAUCAUUGUCUACUGCAAACAUGCA
rnacentral:lncRNA from 1 species